rnacentral:tRNA from 1 species
AUUUAAGUAGUUUAAUAAAAAUUGUGAUUUGUGAUAUCAUAGAUGUAAAUAAUACCUUAAAUU